GUUUUUUGCAUGAGCUGAGAGAUAAAGCUGGAAUCAGCCGUUUGUGGGGUUUAAUAUCUGGGGGUAAAAUGGUGGCUAGUGCUCAGGACUUGGUAAUUUGUGAGUUGCGUGAGAAAAAGUUUGUGUUUGUGCUUCAUUUGGAUGGGACGCUACGAAUUUGGGAUCUUGCAUCUCAUAGCAGGGUCUUUACUCAUAACAUGGGUGUUAUGGAAAUGGCAGGAGGAUAUUUUGUCUUUUGUAUCUUCUAUUUUCUUAAGAAGGCUGCUUCUUCCCGGGGUUCAUCUUAAUGCUGCUUUGUAUGCAACUCUAGUUGAGUAUAACAGGCAUUUGGCUGAGUCUGAGUUACAUACAUUAACUGCUGAUGAACUGAAAAAGGAGAUACUUUCUCUCAUAGAACAUGAGGUUGCAUCUGAAAAGGUGUCCAUAUUACAUUGCUGGAAAUGCUUUUUCACUCGCUAUUUCCAUAACUGGUGCAAGAACAACGCAUUAUAUGGCUUGCUUGUUGAUUCCUCUUCUGAUGCUGUUGGUUUAAUCAGAAAAAAUUCUGUUUCACUUUUUCGAUCUUUGGAAGAUAUCGAGCAGAUUGUAGAAGGCUCUUCAGCUGAAGUUAUGGGGCUCACAUGCCUUGUGCAUUUAUUUGAUCUUAUCGAAUGUGAAAUUCUGAUCGACCUGCUUAGAUGUGUUAUAAGUUUCAGCCAACAAUUGGGCAAAACUGCUUCUUCUAUAUUUUAUGAAUCACUUUUAACUGCGCCAGUGAUCUCUUCUGAAGAUAUUGUUCACUGUAUAAUGAAGAUUCUGGAAACUGGUUAUUGUAUAUCAGGUCCAGUGCUCCAAACUUCUACUUCUGGGGAUAAUAUAAUUGUUCUGGAGAAGGAACUAGCAGAUCAUAAAAGAUUGAGGAAACUUUCUGUUGAUAUGUUUUUGUCUCUUCAAGGUUUGUACAGAAAGGCUUCUGAAUGGGGCAAGAUUUUAAAUGUAUUUGAAGGUUUCCUGAAAUUUUUGGUUCCACAGAAAAUAAUACGUAAGUUUGAUACCGAAAUUUCAUCAAACAUAAAUUCCUCCAUUAUAGUACACACCGCAUAUCAGAUUGCAAAGGUGAUGUUUGAAACUGCCUGGGAUUUUCUUCUAUUUUUAAGCUAUUUGGUGGACAUCAGUGGUCAGGUCCAUUUGUCACCUGAUGAUAUAACCAAAAUACAACUUGAGUUAGUUCCAAUGCUUCAAGAAACUAUUUUUCAAUGGCUAGUUAUCAUCUUCUUUGCCAUCACACCUGCUACACCAGCUGUUACUGAGGACUUCGAUUCUAAACUUUCAUCAUUACAAAUAGAUAACAACUUGGGGAGACAAUUAUGGAAUGAGAAGCUUGGCAGAUGUGACUUCAAAAUGGCUUUUAUAUUCUUGCUAAACGUUAAAAGUUCAUCUGUAGACCAUAGCCACCUUUUUUCAGAACGUUUCUCAUAUAUGCAGAGCUUUAUUAAUAGGAUGAGAGACUUCAUCAGUUUAGUCAUUUGGGGCCAGGCUGGUGGAUCUUCUACUUUCUUGAGUCGCUCCAUUGAUCUUGCAUUUAUCCUUUUCAAGCAUGAUCAGUAUGGUGCUGCUGAGCAAUUGCUUAUGAUGGUGGAGGGUCAUUUGCUAAAGAAAAAGACAUCCCAUAGUAUUCAAGACACUGAUGGUGGAUGGUGCAUACGUCAUCAUCUUCUAGGAUGUUGCCUACUUGCACAGGUGCAGGGUGGAUUACAUGCAACAAAGAAAGAUAAAAAGGUUUCUGAUGCCAUUUGCUGUUUCUUUAGGUCUUCGUCAGGAAAUGGUGCAUCUGAGGCUCUGCAGAGUUUAUCUGCUGACAUAGGAAUUCCAUAUCUUGGUUUCAGUGGUUAUACAUCAAUUGCUAUAUGGAGGCUUCAAUACUAUCAAUGGGCUAUGCAGUUAUUUGAACGUUAUAAUGUGAGUGAAGGUGCUAGCCAGUUUGCUCUUGCUGCACUUGAGCAGGUUGAUGAAGCUCUACAGACGCAAGAUGAAAAGUGCAUGCAUGGAAAGCUCAGUUAAUAAAUCAGUGACAACCAUCAAGGGACGACUGUGGGCGAAUGUUUUCAUAUUUGCAUUUGACCUUGGUCGGUUUCAUGAUGCAUAUUGUGCAAUUAUUUCAAAUCCAAAUGAGGAGAGCAAAUACAUCUGCUUGAGGCGGUUCAUAAUUGUUCUUUAUGAACAAGGUGCUAUAAAGAUUCUUUGCAGUAAUAAACUUCCCCUUAGUGGUUUAGUAGAAAAAGUAGAACAAGAACUUGCUUGGAAGGCUGAACGAUCAGACAUUUCGGCAAAGCCAAACUUGUAUAAAUUGCUCUAUGCAUUUCAAUUCCACCAGCAUAAUUGGCGACGAGCAGCAAGCUACAUAUACUUGUAUUCAGCUCGUUUGAGAACUGAAGCAGCUUUGAAAGAUAACCAAGGCAGUUCCAUGAUUUUGCAAGAGAGGCUGAAUGCGCUCUCUGCUGCAGUCAAUGCAUUGCAUCUUGUUCAUCCUCCAUAUGCUUGGAUUGAU